UUGCGGCCGUAUCACGUUAAAACACCGGUUCUCGUACGAUCACUGAAAUUAAGCAAUGUUGAACCUGGUUCGUAACUAGAUGGGUGACUGCUCUGGAAUCCCAGAUGCUGUAA